rnacentral:tRNA from 1 species
GCGGGCAUCGUAUAAUGGCUAUUACCUCAGCCUUCCAAGCUGAUGAUGCGGGUUCGAUUCCCGUGCCCGCUCCA